rnacentral:rRNA from 1 species
UUUGAUGGCGACCGGCGCACGGGUAAGUAACACGUAUCCAACCUGCCGAUGACUCGGGGAUAGCCUUUCGAAAGAAAGAUUAAUACCCGAUGGCAUAGUUCUUCCGCAUGGUAGAACUAUUAAAGAAUUUCGGUCAUCGAUGGGGAUGCGUUCCAUUAGCUUGUUGGCGGGGUAACGGCCCACCAAGGCAUCGAUGGAUAGGGGUUCUGAGAGGAAGGUCCCCCACAUUGGAACUGAGACACGGUCCAAACUCCUACGGGAGGCAGCAG